rnacentral:rRNA from 1 species
GUAUUGGACAAUGGGGGCAACCGUGAUCCACCCAUGCCGCGUGUGUGAAGAAGGCCUUAGGAUUGUAAAACACUUUAAGUUGGGAGGAAGGGCUUUAGGCUAAUACCCUGAAGUUUUGACGUUACCAACAGAAUAAGCACCGGCCAACUCUGUGCCCGCAGCCGCGGUAAUGCAGAGGGUGCAAGCGUUAAUCGGAAUUACUGGGCGUAAAGCGCGCGUAGGUGGUUCAGUAAGAUGGGUGUGAAAUCCCCGGGCUUAACCUGGGAACUGCUUUCAUAACUGCUGAGCUAGAGUACGGUAGAGGGUAGUGGAAUUUCCUGUGUAGCGGUGAAAUGCGUAGAUAUAGGAAGGAACACCAGUGGCGAAGGCGACUACCUGGACUGAUACUGACACUGAGGUGCGAAAGCGUGGGGAGCAAAC